UGGCGGACGGGUGAGUAAUGUCUGGGAAACUGCCUGAUGGAGGGGGAGUAACUACUGGAAACGGUAGCUAAUACCGCAUAACGUCGCAAGACCAAAGAGGGGGACCUUCGGGCCUCUUGCCAUCGGAUGUGCCCAGAUGGGAUUAGCUAGUAGGUGGGGUAAAGGCUCACCUAGGCGACGAUCCCUAGCUGGUCUGAGAGGAUGACCAGCCACACUGGAACUGAGACACGGUCCAAACUCCUACGGGAGGCAGCAUG
rnacentral:rRNA from 1 species